GAUUAGAGUUUGAUCCUGGCUCAGAGCGAACGCUGGCGGCGUGCUUAACACAUGCAAGUCGAACGUGAAAUGUAGCAAUACAGAGUAAAGUGGCGUACGGGUGAGUAACACGUAGGUAAUCUACCUUAGAGUUCGGAAUAACCUGCCGAAAGGCGGGCUAAUACUGGAUAGAGCGAUGGGAAUCAUAAUGAUUCUUUCGGGAAAGGGAGCCUGAUAAGGGCCCUCGCUUUAAGAUGAGCCUGCGUCUGAUUAGCUAGUUGGUGAGGUAACGGCUCACCAAGGCGAUGAUCAGUAGCUGGUCUGAGAGGAUGAUCAGCCACACUGGAACUGAAACACGGUCCAGACUCCUACGGGAGGCAGCAGUGGGGAAUCUUGCGCAAUGGACGAAAGUCUGACGCAGCCACGCCGCGUGAGUGAAGAAGGCCUUCGGGUUGUAAAGCUCUGUCGGGCGGGACGAAAAUACGGUGGGUUAAGAGCUAAUCGUACUGACGGUAC
rnacentral:rRNA from 1 species